rnacentral:lncRNA from 1 species
UCUGUGGUGAUAAAAUUGUUUGCACUAAAAUGAAUCAAGGAUCAAGGAAUAAUAUUCAAAACCAACAAUGAAUCAAGGAUCACUCACCCAAAUAGUCUUCAAGUAUCAGAACCUCAAGUAAUAUUGGAACUCUGAGAGCACAACGAUAAGAUUAAAUCUGAUAUGGAUCUUUAAGAUGGCUAAAAUCCCAGAGAUGGACUGAGAUUCAAAUUGGUUGGAGUUUGGCCUAGGGAUAGAGGAGAGACAGGUUGGAAACGGUGGGAAUAACCACCUAUAUUUAUAUAUAUGUUUUUUCGAUCAAAGAAAAAAAGUGUAGUUUUUUAUAAAAUCACGAGAAAGUUAACUCGUACUUUUUUUUUUGACAAAAGUUAACUCUACUUAAAAAUAGUUUUAUGAUUUUUUUUUGUAGUAUUUGUUAACGUUGGAAAUCAAGUGUUAGUGAUUAUGUCUCACAUCGAUUAAAAAUGACUUAAUACAUCGUUUGGUCGCUUAACUUAUUUUUUGUUUUCACUUUGGUCCCCUAACUAUAAAGUGUUUCAAUUUGGUCUCAUAAAUUUUCCGUCGUUUACUAUUUUGGUUUUUUUCUGUUAGUAUUUUGCAAAAUUUGUUAACUCAAUUCCACGUAUCAGUUAAGAUUCUUGAUCAACG